GAUGAACGCUAGCGGCAGGCUUAAUACAUGCAAGUCGAGGGGCAGCAGGUCUGUAGCAAUACAGAUGCUGGCGACCGGCAAACGGGUGCGGAACACGUACACAACCUUCCUUUAAGCGGGGAAUAGCCCGGGGAAACCCGGAUUAAUAGCCCAUAGUAUAUCGAUUAGGCAUCUUUUUGAUAUUAAAGAUUUAUCACUUGAAGAUGGGUGUGCGGCUGAUUAGGUAGUUGGCGGGGUAACGGCCCACCAAGCCUACGAUCAGUAACUGGUGUGAGAACACGACCAGUCACACGGGCACUGAGACACGGGCCCGACUCCUACGGGAGGCAGCAGUAAGGAAUAUUGGUCAAUGGACGAAAGUCUGAACCAGCCAUGCCGCGUGGAGGAUGAAGGCCCUCUGGGUUGUAAACUUCUUUUAUAUGGGACGAAAAAAGACCUUUCCGGGUCGUCUGACGGUACCAUAUGAAUAAGCACCGGCUAACUCCGUGCCAGCCGCCGCGGUAAAAC
rnacentral:rRNA from 1 species